rnacentral:rRNA from 1 species
GUGCAGCAGGCGCGAAUACUUUACAAUGUGCGAAAGCACGAUAAGGGAACUCUGAGUGCCUCCUAAGGAGGCUGUUCAGGUGUCUAAAAAGCACCUGAAGGAAGGGCUGGGUAAGACCGGUGCCAGCCGCCGCGGUAACACCGGCAGCCCAAGUGGUAGCCACGUUUAUUGGGUCUAAAGCGUCCGUAGCCGGCUGGGUAAGUUCCUUGGGAAAUUUGGCUGCUUAACAGUCAAGCUUUCAGGGAAUACUGCCCGGCUUGGGGACCGGGAGAGGUCAGAGGUACUCCAGGGGUAGGGGUGAAAUCCAUUAAAUCCCUUGGGGGACCACCGGUAGCGAAGGCGUCUGACCAGACCGGGUCCGACGGUGAGGGACGAAGGCUAGGGGCGCGAACCGGAUUAGGAUACCCGUGUAGU